UACGUAGGUGGCAAGCGUUGUCCGGAUUUACUGGGCGUAAAGAGCGCGCAGGCGGUCGAUCAAGGCGCGUGUGAAAGCCCCCGGCUCAACUGGGGAGGGUCACGCGAUACUGAUCGACUCGAAGGCAGGAGAGGGUAGUGGAAUUCCCGGUGUAGUGGUGAAAUGCGUAGAUAUCGGGAGGAACACCAGUGGCGAAGGCGACUACCUGGCCUGUCCUUGACGCUGAGGCGCGAAAGCUAGGGGAGCAAACGGG
rnacentral:rRNA from 1 species